rnacentral:rRNA from 1 species
GGGACCCCAGGUCANGCGGGACUACCCGCUGAGUUUAAGCAU